rnacentral:rRNA from 1 species
UGGUGGAGCGAUUUGUCUGGUUAAUUCCGAUAACGAACGAGACUCUGGCCUAUUAAAUAGACGAGGUAUUUAAAUGUACCUCGCGCUUCUUAGAGGGACAAGCGGCGUCUAGUCGCAUGAAAAAGAGCAAUAACA